CUCACAAAACACCACCAGGAGCCGUGCAUAAGAAACCGCAGGAAAACCUCGAGCGCCGAAUUGAAGUGGAUUUCUACCUACUUUCGGUUACACCGAAACACCAUUAAACAUCACCGGAUUCUACCGUAAGGACUACCGUCUUCAAGCCCUCGCCUUCCUCUUUACACCCGGUCUGUUAGCACUAGGAGCCGAGCUUGAACAAAGAGUGCGUAGAGCGUGAGGAUACGUACUAGUGUUUACGUGUGCUGUUGGUGAUACUAAGCUUGUUAAGGUAUGCAUGGCACAUCAUGAGCGACCGUUUCACCACAUUAGUAGCAAGUUAUUAGUAACGUAGAUCAACUAAAGACAAUCAGUUGGGUUUUAUUUAAUUCAGAUUGUAACGACAUUUUUGGGUAGUUGGUUUAAGUUAUCUAAUUGUGACAAUGUUGGUUUAAUUAUAAAGGUUGGAUUAUUGAUAGAUAACAUAGCCUUACAUUUGGGUUGUAGCCUAAAUGUGGCGGUAAUACCCUUAAUUCAUUAUUUUAUGCUUCCGCUAUAAGUCUUAAACAGGUAUGGAAAU